GAUGAAGAACGUAGCGGAAUGCGAUAAGUAGUGUGAAUUGCAGAAUUCAGUGAAUCAUCGAAUCUUUGAACGCACAUUGCGCCCCUUGGUAUUCCAUGGGGCAUGCCUGUUCGAGCGUCAUUUGUACCCUCCAGCCCUGCUGGGUGUUGGGCGUUUGUUCCGCCGCGCGCGUGAACUCGCCUCAAAUGCAUUGGCAGCCAGCCGUCCCGCGUGGGAGCGCAGCACAUUUUGCGCUCUCCGCUGGGUGCGGCGGCGUCCACAAGCCUAUACCUUUACGCUUGACCUCGGAUCAGGUAGGGAUACCCGCUGAACUUAAGCAUAUCAAUAAGCGGAGGA
rnacentral:misc_RNA from 1 species